rnacentral:rRNA from 1 species
AGUGAACGCUGGCGGUAGGCCUAACGCAUGCAAGUCGAACGGCAGCACAGUAAGAGCUUGCUCUUACGGGUGGCGAGUGGCGGACGGGUGAGGAAUACAUCGGAAUCUACUUUUUCGUGGGGGAUAACGUAGGGAAACUUACGCUAAUACCGCAUACGACCUACGGGUGAAAGCAGGGGAUCUUCGGACCUUGCGCGAUUGAAUGAGCCGAUGUCGGAUUAGCUAGUUGGCGGGGUAAAGGCCCACCAAGGCGACGAUCCGUAGCUGGUCUGAGAGGAUGAUCAGCCACACUGGAACUGAGACACGGUCCAGACUCCUACGGGAGGCAGCAGUGGGGAAUAUUGGACAAUGGGCGCAAGCCUGAUCCAGCCAUACCGCGUGGGUGAAGAAGGCCUUCGGGUUGUAAAGCCCUUUUGUUUGGAAAGAAAAGCAGCAGGUUAAUACCCCGCUGUUCUGACGGUACCCAAAGAAUAAGCACCGGCUAACUUCGUG